AACGAACGCUGGCGGCAUGCCUAACACAUGCAAGUCGAACGAAGGCUUCGGCCUUAGUGGCGCACGGGUGCGUAACGCGUGGGAAUCUGCCCUUUGGUUCGGAAUAACAGCUGGAAACGGCUGCUAAUACCGGAUGAUGACGAAAGUCCAAAGAUUUAUCGCCAGAGGAUGAGCCCGCGUUGGAUUAGGUAGUUGGUGGGGUAAAGGCCUACCAAGCCGACGAUCCAUAGCUGGUCUGAGAGGAUGAUCAGCCACACUGGGACUGAGACACGGCCCAGACUCCUACGGGAGGCAGCAGUGGGGAAUAUUGGACAAUGGACGCAAGCCUGAUCCAGCAAUGCCGCGUGAGUGAUGAAGGCCCUAGGGUUGUAAAGCUCUUUUACCCGGGAAGAUAAUGACUGUACCGGGAGAAUAAGCCCCGGCUAACUCCGUG
rnacentral:rRNA from 1 species